AACGAACGCUGGCGGUGUGCUUAACACAUGCAAGUCGAACGAGAAAGUUUCCUUCGGGAAGCGAGUAAAGUGGCGCAAGGGUGAGUAACACGUGAAUAAUCUACCCCCGAGACUGGGAUAACCUGGUGAAAACUAGGCUAAUACCGGAUAAGACCACGUCCCGCAAGGGAUGCGGAAAAAGGAGGCUCAACCUCCACUUGGAGAUGAGUUCGCGGACCAUUAGCUUGUUGGUGAGAUAAAAGCUCACCAAGGCUACGAUGGUUAGCCGGCCUGAGAGGGUGAACGGCCACACUGGAACUGAGACACGGUCCAGACUCCUACGGGAGGCAGCAGUGGGGAAUAUUGCGCAAUGGGCGAAAGCUCCCCCGAGCAGCAACACCGCGUGAGCGAUG
rnacentral:rRNA from 1 species